rnacentral:rRNA from 1 species
UACGUAGGGGGCGAGCGUUGUCCGGAUUUAUUGGGCGUAAAGAGCGUGUAGGCGGCCAGGAGGUGGGUUGUGAAAACUGGAGGCUCAACCUUCAGACGUCGACCCAAACCCCCUGGCUAGAGUCCGGAAGAGGAGAGUGGAAUUCCUGGUGUAGCGGUGAAAUGCGCAGAUAUCAGGAAGAACACCCGUGGCGAAGGCGGCUCUCUGGGACGGUACUGACGCUGAGACGCGAAAGCGUGGGGAGCGAACAGG